CUUAUUUAAUAUCCCUCCUGGUUCCCCCCGGGUUUUAAAUUGCUGUGGUAUUUUGACUAUACAAAGGUAUUGAAAUAAGAUUUUAAUUGAAUGCUAAGAGAAUGGAAGUCCAGAAAAAAACUUUUUUUAAAUUAAAAAUUGAAGUUUUUUUAAUUUGUGCAGAAACAAUUAUUUAUAUUAAAGACAAGAAGACCCUAUGAAUUUAUUAAAUUUUUAUUUAAUAUGUAAUUACUAUUAGAAAAAUUUUGGCUGGGGCGGCUAGAAAAUAUUAUGAACUUUUUAAAAAUAAAAUGAUCCAUUAUUAAUGAUUUUAUGUUAAAUACUCUAGGGAUAACAGCGUUAUAUUUUUUGAUAGAUCAUAUUGACAAAAAAGUUUGCGACCUCGAUGUUGGAUUAGGAUACUUUUUUAAUGAAGAUAUAAAAAAAGAAGUUGUCAACGAUC
rnacentral:rRNA from 1 species